GAAACUAACAAGGAUUCCCCUAGUAACUGCGAGUGAAGCGGGAAAAGCUCAAAUUUAAAAUCUGGUAGUCUUUGGCUGCCCGAGUUGUAAUCUAGAGAAGCGUUAUCCGCGCUGGACCGUGUAUAAGUCUCCUGGAAUGGAGCGUCAUAGAGGGUGAGAAUCCCGUCUUUAACACGGACUCCCAGGGCUUUGUGAUGCGCUCUCAAAGAGUCGAGUUGUUUGGGAAUGCAGCUCUAAAUGGGUGGUAAAUUCCAUCUAAAGCUAAAUAUUGGCGAGAGACCGAUAGCGAACAAGUACCGUGAGGGAAAGAUGAAAAGAACUUUGGAAAGAGAGUUAAACAGUACGUGAAAUUGUUGAAAGGGAAACGCUUGAAGUCAGUCGCGUUGAUCAGGGAUCAACCUUGCUUUUGCUUGGUGUACUUCCUGGUUAACGGGUCAGCAUCAAUUUUGACCAGUGGAAAAAGGUCAGGGGAAUGUGGCAUCUUCGGAUGUGUUAUAGCCUCUGGUCAUAUACAUUGGUUGGGAUUGAGGAACUCAGCACGCCGCAAGGCCGGGUUUUACCACGUUCGUGCUUAGGAUGCUGGCAUAAUGGCUUUAAUCGACCCGUCUUGA
rnacentral:rRNA from 1 species